rnacentral:tRNA from 1 species
UAGCUCAGUGGUAGAGCACUUGCCUUACAUACAUGAGGCCUUGGGUUCGAUUCCUCA